GGGGUUCAAAUGGAGAAAGGGAGAUGUUGCGACAUUUUCUGGAGAACGGGGUUCAUAUUGGCGAUCGCGAGUUAUCGUCAGGCGACUGGGGUUCAAACUGGAGAUGGGGUUCAUUCUUUUGGCAAAGAAGGAGUGCUGAGGCAUUUUCCGGGGUUCAAAUGCAGAGAUCCGAGGAUCGUUUGCGCGAAAGAAAAUUUCGGGGUUCAAGAAAAAGAAAAAAAGGAGAAAAG
rnacentral:lncRNA from 1 species